rnacentral:rRNA from 1 species
UUUAAAAUGAGAGUUUGAUCCUGGCUCAGGAUGAACGCUGGCGGCGUGCCUAAUACAUGCAAGUCGAACGCUUUGUGCUUAAUUGAGAUGACGAGCUUGCUCUGAUUUGAUUUUUUGAUUUCAAAGAGUGGCGAACGGGUGAGUAACACGUGGGUAACCUACCUCUUAGCAGGGGAUAACAUUUGGAAACAAGUGCUAAUACCGUAUAAUAUCAACAACCGCAUG